GUCCAUGAUAUAUAUACAAAAUAAAAAUCUGUUAUACACAAGAACUAUGAAUCCUCGGCUAACUAACACAAUCUAUUCUUCACAUAGUUCACCUAGUAGGCACUCGCUUUUAAGUACAUCUAGCAAGGCUAUAUAGCAAAUCUAUGGGGUAACACUAUAGUGUUGAAUCAUGACUGAUGAGACCACAUUGCACAAAUAUUACACCAUCUAGAUCAACUUUUCAUAGAUAUAGUCUAUAUAUUACGCGCACCAUAUAUAUCAGUGGGCGCUGCACUAUUCCACAUUUCCACUAAUCCACUACGAGUACGUCUUAUUGUUUCUAUCCGCACGUCGGGAAGGCAUGAAUAGUGUGAGUGUCCAUACCAACUCAGACUCUUCUGUUGACGUAAUUAUUACAGUACUUUGAUGCUCUCUUUGCUUCUUUCUUUCACUCAUCAUUUUGUUUUAUGAUGCUAGACACCAAAUACUAUCCGUUCGGUUAUUCGGAUCUCAGGAGGGUUUAUAAUACGUUUGCACAAUGGACGACUAUGUAUACGAAUCUGCACAACGAAUUGAGGUUUGAGGUACUACAUAGGAAGCUUAUGUUGACAGGAGAUGCUUUCAAACAAUGAUCAGAUCUUUUCUUUCAAGAGAUUAGAUAUCAAAAAGGAGUUGAAAAUGACUACCUAUAGCUAUGGUGAAUUCACAAAUACUAAAUCAAUAGUCGGCUAGCUAGCUUGCUAGGAUUUGUGUACUAACUUUCAUUCAAUACCAGCGUACUUCAAGAUUUACAUGCUGAGCUGUACACACAGACGAGGUAGGGAGGGAGGGGGAGAGAGAGAGAUGAGAGAGAGGGAGAUGAGGGGGAGAGAGAGAGAGAGAGAGAGAGAGAGAGAGAGGGAGG
rnacentral:lncRNA from 1 species